CUCUCUGAGGCCAUGACCAGGUUGUGGACUUACAGAGCAGGGCUCUGGGGUGAGGACCCAAGGAAUGGUGGUGCAGGGCCCCAAACCAGCUCAGACACUGGCCUCUCGUGCUUCCUCGGCCCUUGCUGGGACACCUGCAUAGGUGACAAGGAGUCAGAGGGACUGGCUUCCAUGAACCACCUUACACUGAGCUGCUGUGCUUCUUAUUGACUUUCCAGGCCCCUGUACACUUUUGAG
rnacentral:lncRNA from 1 species